GGAUGGGGUUUAGUGGUUAGCAUGUUUUCCUCACACCUGAGGGGUUGGGGGUUCGAUUCCCACCUCCA